rnacentral:rRNA from 1 species
AAGGGUAACACGGCGGACGGCUGCGUAACACGUUGGCACGUACCUCGAACUCAGGGAUAUCCCGCCGAAAGGUGGAGUAAUACCGGAUGCCCUCGCGAGAGGAAAGAUUUUUCGGUUCGAGAACGGCCUGCGGCCUAUCAGGUAGUUGGUAAGGUAACGGCUUACCAAGCCUAUGACGGGUAGCUGAUCUGAGAGGAUGAUCAGCCAGAAUGGAACUGAGACACGGUCCAUACUCCUACGGGAGGCAGCAGUGAGGAAUCUUCCGCAAUGGGCGAAAGCCUGACGGAGCGACACCGCGUGAAGGAUGAAGCCCUUUCCGGGCGUAAACUUCUGUUCUGAGGGACGAAAUUUUUGACGGUACCUCAGGAGAAAGCAUCGGCUAACCCUGUGCCAGCAGCCGCGGUAAGACAGGGGAUGCAAGCGUUACUCGGAAUUACUGGGCGUAAAGCGUCUGCAGGUUUCGUAGCAAGUCUGGUGCAAAAUGGCGAUGCUCAACAUCGUCAUCGUGCCGGAAACUCCUACGAUAGAGUCACUCAGAGGCAUCUGGAAUGUCGUGUGUAGGGGUAAAAUCCGUAGAUCCACGAUGGAACGCCAAAAGCGAAGGCAGGAUGCUGGGGGUGUACUGACACUCAGAGACGAAAGCGUGGGGAGCAAAGGGGAUUAGAUACCCCCGUAGUCCACGCCCUAAACUAUGCGGGCUCGGUGUAGCGAUGUUCAAUUGAUCGCUGUGCCUUAGCUAACGCGUUAAGCCCGCCGCCUGAGAAGUACGGCCGCAAGGCUAAAACUC